UACGUAGGCAGCGAGCGUUGUUCGGAGUUACUGGGCGUAAAGGGUGCGCAGGCGGUGGAGCAAGUCUGUUGUGAAAUCUCCCGGCUUAACCGGGAGGGUGCGGCGGAAACUGUUCUGCUGGAGUGAGGGAGAGGCAAGCGGAAUUCCUGGUGUAGCGGUGAAAUGCGUAGAUAUCAGGAGGAACACCCGUGGUGCAGACGGCUUGCUGGACCUCCACUGACGCUGAGGCACGAAAGCUAGGGGAGCGAACAGG
rnacentral:rRNA from 1 species